GACCUGAGCUCAGACAAGGUUACCCGCUGAACUUAAGCAUAUCAAUAAGCGGAGGAAAAGAAACCAACCAGGAUUCCCCUAGUAACGGCGAGCGAACCGGGAAAAGCCCAACUUGAAAAUCUCCCUUUGGAGAAUUGUAGUCUACAGAAGUGCCCUCUGUGGCGGGAGGAGUUCAAGUCCGCUGGAAGGCGGCGUCAGAGAGGGUGAGAACCCCGUCAACUCCUACCUUGCUACACCACGAGGUGCUUUCCACGAGU
rnacentral:rRNA from 1 species